rnacentral:pre_miRNA from 1 species
CACGUACUCCCUCCAUCCGAAAAUACUUGUCAUCAAAAUGGACAAAAGAGGAUGUAUCUAAAACUAAAAUACAUCUAAAUACAUCCCCUUUUAUUCAUUUUGAUGACAAGUAUUUUCGGAUGGAGGGAGUACAUG